GUCGAGCGGACAGAAGGGAGCUUGCUCCCGGAUGUUAGCGGCGGACGGGUGAGUAACACGUGGGUAACCUGCCUGUAAGACUGGGAUAACUCCGGGAAACCGGAGCUAAUACCGGAUAGUUCCUUGAACCGCAUGGUUCAAGGAUGAAAGACGGUUUCGGCUGUCACUUACAGAUGGACCCGCGGCGCAUUAGCUAGUUGGUGGGGUAAUGGCUCACCAAGGCGACGAUGCGUAGCCGACCUGAGAGGGUGAUCGGCCACACUGGGACUGAGACACGGCCCAGACUCCUACGGGAGGCAGCAGUAGGGAAUCUUCCGCAAUGGACGAAAGUCUGACGGAGCAACGCCGCGUGAGUGAUGAAGGUUUUCGGAUCGUAAAGCUCUGUUGUUAGGGAAGAACAAGUGCGAGAGUAACUGCUCGCACCUUGACGGUACCUAACCAGAAAGCCACGGCUAACUACGUGCCAGCAGCCGCGGUAAUACGUAGGUGGCAAGCGUUGUCCGGAAUUAUUGGGCGUAAAGGGCUCGCAGGCGGUUUCUUAAGUCUGAUGUGAAAGCCCCCGGCUCAACCGGGGAGGGUCAUUGGAAACUGGGAAACUUGAGUGCAGAAGAGGAGAGUGGAAUUCCACGUGUAGCGGUGAAAUGCGUAGAGAUGUGGAGGAACACCAGUGGCGAAGGCGACUCUCUGGUCUGUAACUGACGCUGAGGAGCGAAAGCGUGGGGAGCGAACAGGAUUAGAUACCCUGGUAGUCCACGCCGUAAACGAUGAGUGCUAAGUGUUAGGGGGUUUCCGCCCCUUAGUGCUGCAGCUAACGCAUUAAGCACUCCGCCUGGGGAGUACGG
rnacentral:rRNA from 1 species